AACAACAUGGUUCUACUUUUAUCAACAUUCAGGUAUUCAAGAUGAUUCAGUAGUCUCAAAAUGGAUCAGCUCAGAUCCUGACAGUUAAGCGUGAUAGCGGGGGACACUGUCUUCGUACCUGGAACGCCGGAAGAACCCGCACUGUGCAGAGAAGGAAAAGAACAGUUUAUGUCUAAGUUACUGCCAAAGUCCUACAACUGUAGAGGCAGUAUAUUCCUCCUUCACAUAAAUACGAAGGUUAAAAAAAAAUAAAAAGAGUCAUCACAAGAACUCUGCUGUUUCUAGAUCUGAGGACUUCUUGGACUAACUUGAUCUAUACAAUAACAGAAUAAAAUAACCUGAGUUAUCAACAGAGUAACCUGAGAAUAUUAUUUUAGAGGCAUUUUGAUAAAUCUGUAGAGAAUCUGUUUGGGUUUUUUUUAAGAAAAGCUACAAUAACGGAAAUCCAUAGCAAUUGAAGGUGGCUAUGAAGAGCAGAAAGAAGCCUCUACAAAAACCUGUUUGUGGACUAGUACAUGGGACAGACAAAACCAUAGGGUGUAGAACAAAACCAGAUACUGCUUUGACUCCUUCAAUGCAAGCUAUUGUCUUAAACCAAUGAUAUAUCUGCCUUUCCAGUACAAUGUUUGUCCUUCAUAGAAUAGCACAGUCUGUUGUCAAAACCAGCAUUUUUCACUGUGUGUGCAUGUGAAAAAUGUUUGUAUUUUCUUGCACAGUAAAACACUAGUAGUCAGAACCUAACAGCCCACAGCCCACUCAGUAUUCAUUCAUCUGAAACAUUUGCAGGAGCAGCUGGGCCUUUUUUAAAAAGUAAGAAAAUUAAACUAUCCUAUGAAGUAACCUGCAGCAAAUAUCUCCUCAAAGCUAACUGCUGCAGUUUCACUGGAAAAAAAGUGAUAGAUGGAUAUUUUUCACCUCCUCUUCCUUAACAACUUCUGCUGCCCCCUAACAGCAAAAUGCUAAUGCCUAAGCCUGUAAAAACUAAAAAUACUCUCUUAUACUUCGGACCACAAGUAAUUGGCAGUUUUACAAAGGCCAUUAGAGAAAAUGUAGUUGAUUUUUUAUUUUGCCAAUAGUUGAUCAUUUGUUAUAUCUCUUCAUUUAUUGCUUUAAGGUUUCUAAGAUAAAAAAGCAGUAAUAAGAAAUUCACCAGCACACUUGGUUAUGUAUUAAUAAUAUGCUUUUUGUUAUUUUCAUCUACUAUCAGUUUAAUGGUAUUUUUAAAGUCAUGAAAACAGAGCCCUACUAAAACAUUUGUAGACAGCUCACGUGAAGUUUUACACCUCCAAUAGCUGUACCCAUCUGUAUCAAACUAUGGCUUCUGAACAUUUGUCUCAAGCUCCAUCUGGAGCUCAAAAUACCUCCUUUUGAGGAUGUGAAAACAAAAAAAUUAUGUAACAAGUCUGCCUUUACAACCAUUUUCAUUCCAAGUGUUGCAAAACUGAGAAACUGAUAAUGUAUGAUUUGUGCAGUUUUGCCCUAUUUUGAGUCCCAAAUACUUCAUCAUCUACUUAAUUAGUUUGCUGUCUUGUCAGUUACCGAGCAGAAAAUAAAAAAUAACCAGAUGAAUAAAA